GCAGUCGAACGGACUCAUAUUGAAACCUAGUGAUUUAUGAGUUAGUGGCGGACGGGUGAGUAACGCGUGGAAAACCUGCCGUAUACCGGGGGAUAACACUUAGAAAUAGGUGCUAAUACCGCAUAAGCGCACAGCUUCGCAUGAAGCAGUGUGAAAAACUCCGGUGGUAUACGAUGGUUCCGCGUCUGAUUAGCUAGUUGGCGGGGUAACGGCCCACCAAGGCAGCGAUCAGUAGCCGGCCUGAGAGGGUGAACGGCCACAUUGGGACUGAGACACGGCCCAAACUCCUACGGGAGGCAGCAGUGGGGAAUAUUGCACAAUGGGGGAAACCCUGAUGCAGCGACGCCGCGUGAGUGAAGAAGUAUUUCGGUACGUAAAGCUCUAUCAGCAGGGAAGAAAAUGACGGUACCUGACUAAGAAGCCCCGGCUAACUACGUGCCAGCAGCCGCGGUAAUACGUAGGGGGCAAGCGUUAUCCGGAUUUACUGGGUGUAAAGGGAGCGUAGACGGCAGCGCAAGUCUGGAGUGAAAUGCCGGGGCCCAACCCCGGAACUGCUUUGGAAACUGUGCAGCUUGAGUGCGGGAGAGGUAAGUGGAAUUCCUAGUGUAGCGGUGAAAUGCGUAGAUAUUAGGAGGAACACCAGUGGCGAAGGCGGCUUACUGGACCGUAACUGACGUUGAGGCUCGAAAGCGUGGGGAGCAAACAGGAUUAGAUACCCUGGUAGUCCACGCCGUAAACGAUGAUUACUAGGUGUCGGGGGACCAAGGUCCUCCGGUGCCGGCGCAAACGCAUUAAGUAAUCCACCUGGGGAGUACGUUCGCAAGAA
rnacentral:rRNA from 1 species